UCUGGCUGGUAAAAGCAAAUUCAAACCAUUCAAUAGCACCAGUAAGGAAUUUCUGGAAUACCCAUAAACAGAGAAGUGACACACUUCUAGCCUAUGGGGAAUAAAACAGGAAGGAGAAAAUAAUGAAGAAAAAAAAAGAAGAAGCAAAAAAAGAAGAAGCUGCUGCUUACUGCCCAAUGCAAGCUAAAAUUCUUGUCAAGAGAGACAAAUUGCUUAAUACCCAUACAGUGCUUUGAAGAUCUAAAGUACAGAAGACCUUGAAGGCCUCUGGGGGUGAUUGCAUGAUUUCAUCCAUGCUGCAAAUCUCUGGAGGUGAAACCAAGCUACAUCACAUGAAUAUAUGGCCCUUAAUGCCACAAGUUUAAAAACAGCAAAUCAAGUGAAGACAGCAACAAAGAAAAGGCAGAAUACAUAACAGUUAAUUUGACUGAGUCCUCCACCAACAAGGCAAUAUUGGAACAACUUCCUGCUCUGCCACUGAGCUGCAGAGUCCUUCCUGCUGUCUGUACUGCAGUGAGGGCACCUAUUCUGUGAUUGUGAGGAACAGCGAUUGUCCCAAAAGGAUUUUGAGCAUACUUGAGUUAUAUUAUUCUUGCAAUGCUCAGUUCACAUUUACAAAAACAACUGAUUGUUUAAAAUCAAUGUCAUUCAUCCCACUCUACAACGCAAUAUAAAAGCAGAGGUAAAAUGGGAUCCAUAUGUAUUUUGGGAAAAUAAUGAACGGA